UCUCCCAACCAAUCGGCUCAUUUUAGAGGCAAAACUGCCCAGCCCCAAAGAGCGGAUUGGCUAACGGGUGUGCCAAUUAGCCCACCUGGCCCGCCUCCCGUCUAAGAAGAAAAACACUCGAGGGACGCGGAAAAGCACAAGAUGGCGGUGCUGGCAGACGGCCAAGUCCCAGGCAGCGCCGCCGCCAUUAGACCCUCCCUCCCCUCCGGUGUGCUCUCUGUCGAGCUCUGAAGGGCCUGGCCACGGCUGUGGGGGAGCGGCCGGUAAGAUGGCGGCGGUCUCGGCCCCGUAUGCAAAGUACCCACCGCCCCCUCCCCUCCGCCCUCCCGGUGGCAAAGGUAAAAGGGUCGGGUUCAAGCCGCCGCCUCCGCCCGCUCAGACUCCAUCUUCCCUGUGUGUGUCCGGGGUUUCUCUACAGCGCGGCCGGACCCCUUCUCCCGCAGCCACCCAGCCCGCCCGGACAGCAAGUUGCUCGCACGAACGCCAGACCGGCUCGGAACCUCGGCGGGCCCGACUCCGCCGAGCGGCUCCGGAGCGGACUCCGACUCGAUCGGCCCAGCUGCUCCCAGAGACCCUUUCAGGGAGCCACCUGUGAGCCCACCCAGACCUGGGCACGGCCGGCUCUCCGCUACCACCGAGACCCGGAAUCCGAACCAGGGUGCCCGCGAAGCCGGGCCCCAGCCGCUUAAAGCGCGCGUGCUCUUUUCCCAGGGGCGGCCUGGCCCGGCCGCGAUCCCGCCGCCCGGCCCCGUUAAGAUCAGCCGGCGCGGGGGAGAGCAUCCGAGGAGACGUCCUAGACGUGAAGAUCACCCUUAUCACCUUGGUGUGAGGAGAAACCCUUUAUCCCAGACUGGUACUGUGGGCAGUCAUGGUUUACCUCCUGACCCAUAAGGUAGCAUUUUCAUUCAACUCAUCAAGGAAUGAAGAGGACUCACCUCUUUUUCUCAGUUCCGAGUAGCAGCCGUCACAGACUUUUGCUAGUCGGUCUUUGAGAGCAUGAACUGUGGAAUGAAAUACAGCAACACAAUCAAUGCCAUGACCUUCAGUGAUUGAAUCAAGAGGCUUCUGGAUCAAGGGAGAAGGCUCCAAUCUACUGACAUUUUGCUUCUCCCAUCAACAUGUUGAAUUAUUAAUUCUUUG